AUUGAACGCUGGCGGCAGGCCUAACACAUGCAAGUCGAACGGUAGCACAGAGAGCUUGCUCUCGGGUGACGAGUGGCGGACGGGUGAGUAAUGUCUGGGAAACUGCCCGCUGGUGGGGGAUAACUACUGGAAACGGUAGCAAAUACCGCAUAAUGUCGCAAGACCAAAGAGGGGGACCGUCGGGCCUCUUGCCAUCGGAUGUGCCCAGGUGGGAUUAGCUUGUUGGUUGGGUAAUGGCCCACCAAGGCGACGAACCGUAGCUGGUCUGAGAGGAUGACCAGCCACACUGGAACUGAGACACGGUCCAGACUCCUACGGGAGGCAGCAGUGGGGAAUAUUGCACAAUGGGCGCAAGCCUGAUGCAGCCAUGCCGCGUGUGUGAAGAAGGCCUUCGGGUUGUAAAGCACUUUCAGCGGGGAGGAAGGCAAUGCGGUUAAUAACCGUGUUGAUUGACGUUACCCGCAGAAGAAGCACCGGCUAACUCCGUG
rnacentral:rRNA from 1 species